UGAAUCACUGUAAUGAUUAAUAGGGAUAUUGGGGGCAUUAGUAUUCAAUUGUCAGAGGUGAAAUUCUUGGAUUUAUUGAAGACUAACUUCUGCGAAAGCAUUUGCCAAGGAUGUUUUCAUUAAUCAAGAACGAAAGUUAGGGGAUCGAAGACGAUCAGAUACCGUCGUAGUCUUAACCAUAAACUAUGCCGACUAGGGAUCGGACGAUGUUAAAUUUUAUUGACUCGUUCGGCGCCUUACGGAAAC
rnacentral:rRNA from 1 species